UUGCUUCAAUAGUGUUUGAACGGAACAGACCCAAGGACUCCCGCCCCACACUCGGGAUUAGCCAUGACUUCUCAUAUUCGUUGGAACUAUUCCACCAACGUGGAAGCUGUGGUGAACCACCGGCUCAACUUGCACCUGCGGGCCUCCUACACCUACCUUUCUCUGGGCUUUUUUGAUCGGGAUGAUGUGGCUUUGGGGGGCGUAGGCCACUUCUUCAGCGAAUUGGCCAAGGAAAAGACCAAGGGCACCGUGUGUCUCCUCAAGUUGCAGAACGAUCACGGAGGCCGUGCACUCUUCCAGGAUGUGCAGAAGCCAUUUCAAGAUGAAUGGGGGUAAAACCCAGGAGGCCAUGGAAGCUGCCUUGGCCCUGGAGAAGAACCUGAACCAGGCCCUCUUGGAUCUGCAUGCCCUGGGUUCUGCCCGCACAGACCCUCAUCUCUGUGACUUCUUGGAAAGUCACUUCCUGGAUAAGGAGGUGAAGCUUAUCAAGAUGGGCAACCACCUCAACAACCUCCAUAGGCUGGCAAGGCCACAGCCAGCGUAGACUGGCAUGCCCCAGGCAUCUAUGGGUGAAUAUCUCUGAGUGCCUCACUCUCAAGCAUAA
rnacentral:lncRNA from 1 species